UACGUAGGGUGCAAGCGUUAAUCGGAAUUACUGGGCGUAAAGCGUGCGCAGGCGGUGAUGUAAGACAGAUGUGAAAUCCCCGGGCUCAACCUGGGAACUGCAUUUGUGACUGCAUCGCUGGAGUACGGCAGAGGGGGAUGGAAUUCCGCGUGUAGCAGUGAAAUGCGUAGAUAUGCGGAGGAACACCGAUGGCGAAGGCAAUCCCCUGAGCCUGUACUGACGCUCAUGCACGAAAGCGUGGGGAGCAAACAGG
rnacentral:rRNA from 1 species